rnacentral:rRNA from 1 species
CCCUUAGACGUUCUGGGCCGCACGCGCGCUACACUGAAGGAAUCAGCACGUCUUUCUCCUUGUCCGAAAGGACUGGGUAACCCGCUGAACCUCCUUCGUGCUAGGGAUUGGGGCUUGUAAUUCUUCCCCAUGAACGAGGAAUUCCCAGUAAGCGCGAGUCAUAAGCUCGCGUUGAUUACGUCCCUGCCCUUUGUACACACCGCCCGUCGCUACUACCGAUUGGAUGGUUUAGUGAGAUCCUCGGAUUGGUCCCGGCGCGGCCCCUGGUCGUGCCGGAGUGCCGAAAAGAAUGUCGAACUUGAUCAUCUAGAGGAAGUAAAAGUCGUAACA